CUGGCUCAGGAUGAACGCUAGCGAUAGGCCUAACACAUGCAAGUCGAGGGGCAGCACAUGAGUAGCAAUACGAUGGUGGCGACCGGCGCACGGGUGAGUAACACGUAUGCAACCUACCUUUAACAGGGGAAUAACCCGUUGAAAAACGGACUAAUACUCCAUAACACAGGGGUCCCGCAUGGGAAUAUUUGUUAAAGAUUAAUCGGUUGAAGAUGGGCAUGCGUUCCAUUAGCUUGUUGGUGAGGUAACGGCUCACCAAGGCCACGAUGGAUAGGGGAACUGAGAGGUUUAUCCCCCACACUGGAACUGAGACACGGUCCAGACUCCUACGGGAGGCAGCAGUGAGGAAUAUUGGUCAAUGGAGGCAACUCUGAACCAGCCAAGUCGCGUGAAGGAAUGAAGGUCUUAUGGAUUGUAAACUUCUUUUGCAAGGGAAUAAAGUGGGGGACGUGUCCUCCUUUGCAUGUACCUUGCGAAUAAGGAUCGGCUAACUCCGUGCCAGCAGCUGC
rnacentral:rRNA from 1 species